UCUAGAAGCACCGUCUCUUUCCUCGAUGCAGGCCAUCCACUACCCCACCUCCCACACCAUGUCGCAGCUAUGGACCUCAGCUCUAGGGAUCCCUUCCGUCGCUCGGAGAUCGGCCCUGCCGGCGCUGCGACUCGGGGCAACGCGUGGAGAGCGGCCUGAAGUUACAUGGGCGACAGUGGUGGCCGUGGGUGGCGAAGUGCCGCUAUGGCCGGUGCCAGAGGGAGGUCCCUUCGUUCCCACCCUUUCGUGCUUGAGCCGACGCCAAAUCGAACCUCCUAAGAUGGGAUCCCUCUUGAGUAAGGCACAAACUGAUGUCAUCGCAUUCGACUGCCAGCCCCGUCUGCGACUGCAGUGUCGAGUCUGGCCACCGCGCUACAACGGCAGGUCGCGGCAGCUCGAUGAGACUACAAAGGCGACGACAUCUUCGAUUGGAUAGGCCAAGGUUCCCUGAGAGGGGAAGUGCAUAUUUUGUUGGGGCGGCCAUUUUGUUGGUUAAGGAUGUCUCACCCCAUAACUAUGAGUGGAAUAUUCUUGUGCGCAUUGCACGAGCUGGGAAUACAGAGAUUAACCGACGCCCCAGCUUUUCUAUGAACUAGACAUAUAUUCAUAGAUCACGAGGGCGAAGUGGUCAUGCCCUCGCACUUUUCGACGGUGCGAGACCAGCCGCACAGAGGAAGAUGAUCGGUUUCCACCGCCGCUGACCUGCUUCUAUUCUCAUGGGAAGCGACACCAUUGCUGCUUUUCACACUGUCGCCUCAUGCAGCCAGUGAUCCACCACCCCUAGCCGACUAGGUGUUCCGUGCAGGUGCCUAACUGCAAAGUCCCACUCAGACCCGCCAACUCUCUGAUUUGAUUGCAGCAUUUCCAGCGACAAGAAUCCUGAAAUAACGAUCUCAACAUCAAAAUUUUGUGUGAUAUUGAACAACGACUUUGAAGAAAAGGAUCCAUGAAAUAAAAGUGCAUACAUGUCAGAGGUGUCUAAUGGGAAGAAUUGCAUCAGAUGAAAGCUGCUUCUGUACCAGAGGUUAAUGGCGUGUUGGAUACUCAAAGAUUUGAGAAAUUCCAAUUCAGAUUAUUGAUCUUUGCAUGGCAGUUAUGUGUUUAUAAUUUUAUACCACCAUAAAAGCUUUUUUGUCCCAUGCAUUAAUUAUCUAUUUUAUCUUCAAAUUUUAGACCUCCAGUUCAGAUAAUGGUCUUUACAUGCCAUCUUCUUUAACUUCUCAAACAGGUAAUCUUACAGGGAAGAACCUCAAGUUUUAGAAAUAUGGAGGGAAGAUCACAUGUACGAGCAACGGUGAAUAUGACAAAGAUUUAAAGCAUCAUAGACAGUUGUGUUCCUCUGCUCGAUCAAGGAAAGAAGAGGGAGGUGUUGAUGCAUCUGAUCAAACAAUAAUGUCUGUACCAGGCACAAGUGAUACUUCAUGGGAAGUUUUGUAAGUUGGUCCCAUCAAUGAUCAAUCCAGUGAGUCGACUAAACCGCUUAUUCUGAGCCGUAAACAGGUUCUCAUGCUGGACUUCAUGAAUCACAUGAAUGUCCAAAUACUGAUGCACAUCAGACUGUUGCUGAUGAAGAAAAACCACCACCUCUGGUCAUCUAGCGAAGCACGCAGUUUAGUUCCUACAAGUGGUGAUGAGCCAGUUCUUUGUUUGUUUCUAUUUGUUCGCUUUUUCUAGGAUGUAUCGUCAGCUGUUACUUGGCUGUUCGAGGAAAAAAAGGUUGCUUUUCUCCAGAUCUCAGAAAUCAUGAAAUCGUAAAAGUUCUGUUAAGAAUUGGAUUAUUUAUUUGCAAAAAGUUGUUCUUUUGUUAGUUGUUAGUUAGAAAAUUUGACUUAACAAUUCAAGUUUCAUUGCAGUUUUACACAACUUCUCUUACAUAUAUACAUAACAUCAUAUUCUUGCAUGUCACAAUGUCCCACUUUCUGAAUUCUCACCUCUUGGGUUUUCUCUUUUUGGCAAAUCAUUAUCUUAAAUAGUCAGCUGCUAUACACAGAUUGUAUAUCAAUCUACCUAGGUAGUUCAUGCAUGGUCUUAUCAUUUCUUACCGAAUACAAUACUUGAAACUAGAGUUCACAGUACCUAUGUACUUCCUGAUAAGCCAACCGGUAAGAUAGUGCUAAUAUGGAUCCAUGUGUGUUUACUUUCUCGGCUCUUCUCCUCUCUCUCUCUCUCUCUCUCUUCUCUUCUCUUCUCUUCUCUCUCUCUCUCUCCCUCCUGUGUUUCCCCAGGCUUGCAUGGGAAUCCUUUCAUUGCUGCUGCUUUUACCUCCUUGAUUCAUGGUUUUGCUUUUUCUGUCAGUUUGCUUCGUAUGGGUAAUUCUGCACAUGCGCCCUCCCAAUGUCGGGGUUCUUGGUCUGUUGUCCCUUCAGUGGCUGGUGAUUUGGGUGGGUCGUCUUCGCCUACAUAUGGUUGCAUAUGGUUCUCAGGUUUCUGACCCCGCUCAUUCUUAUGCUCCUGCUGUGGUCGAUCUUGCCAUACCAGUUGAUCCGCUGCUUCACACUUUGUGCACUUUCUGCUUUUUCUGUACAUGUUUUAUUUUUAUUGGUUGUUUGCUGAUUCUUCUUUGUUUUUUGGUUUUAUUAUCUGCUACUCCUUUCACAACUUCUCACAGGCCUGUUGCAAAUCGUUGGCGGCAUUUUGAUGUGCGUCUACUUACUGCUUCUGUAGGGUUGUGCUUCCGGUUUAUUGAUUAUAGAAUCUGCAAUUUGCUGCAAUGGAAAGAGAAUAUCAGAAAGUUAAGAUCUAUGAUGUGAUACAACUACACUUUGGGACUAUGUACACCCAAAUAUACUAUGUUCUGGAUCUUUUGAGCUUAGCUAGAUAUAACCAU